rnacentral:tRNA from 1 species
GCCCGGGUGGCGAAACUGGUAGACGCAAGGGACUUAAAAUCCCUCGCCCGAAAGGGAGUGUGGGUUCGAUUCCCACCCCGGGCA